rnacentral:rRNA from 1 species
UACGUAGGGGGCAAGCGUUGUCCGGAUUUAUUGGGCGUAAAGAGCGUGUAGGCGGCCAGUUAGGUCCGUUGUGAAAACUCGAGGCUCAACCUCGAGACGCCGAUGGAAACCAACUGGCUAGAGUCCGGAAGAGGAGAGUGGAAUUCCCGGUGUAGCGGUGAAAUGCGCAGAUAUCGGGAAGAACACCCGUGGCUAAGGCGGCUCUCUGGGCCGAUACUGACGCUGAGGCGCGAAAGCGUGGGGAGCGAACAGG